AUUGAACGCUAGCGGGAUGCCUUACACAUGCAAGUCGAACGAGUGGCGAACGGGUGAGUAAUGUAUCGGAACGUGCCCAGUAGCGGGGGAUAACUACGCGAAAGCGUAGCUAAUACCGCAUACUGUGAGAUGGACCUGCGUUGUAUUAGCUAGUAGGUGGGGUAACGGCUCACCUAGGCGACGAUCCCUAGCUGGUCUGAGAGGAUGACCAGCCACACUGGAACGGAGACACGGUCCAGACUCCUACGGGAGGCAGCAGUGGGGAAUAUUGCACAAUGGGCGCAAGCCUGAUGCAGCCAUGCCGCGUGUAUGAAGAAGGCCUUCGGGUUGUAAAGUACUUGCAGCGAGGAGGCGUUACUCGCAGAAGAAGCACCGGCUAACUCCGUGCCAGCCGCCGCGGUAAUUC
rnacentral:rRNA from 1 species